AUCAUUUGGAGUACAAAAGAUUCGCUUCAACUGGGAACUCGUAUGGAAUUAUUAUUUGCAAGGACAAAUUUCUAUUUAACCGUACACACGUGUAUGAUUUGACCUAUGUCAAAGACAGCUUGCACAAAAUUUGUCGAAAACGAUAUAUAUUGAGCUUCAAGAACGAUCAAAAGAGCUCAACAAUUCUAAUAGCCAGAAAGUGAGACUGCUUUCUUCAAGAGACUGGUGCAAAGUUAAAAACAUCGAAUAAUCUCCAUUCUUCAAACUGUUUUACCAAAGCAUAAGCUUCUUCUUGAAUGCUUCAACCUUCAACUUUACUAGUCAAUUGAAAAAUAUCCGUAUUGUUCCCCGCCUGAUAAGACUUGUUCAGAAUGUUCAAACGUUGAAAAAUAUCUGUUAGGAACGCCAGUUUAAGGAGAAAACGUUUAUCAACACUGACUGAUUCGCUAUGUAGUGUGACUCUUUGAUAGACAACGGUGGCGCACCAGGCACUAGCUCGCAGCUCCCCCGGGCGCCGCGGCCCGUUUGGGAACCUCUGGAUGGUUCCAAUCUAUGAAACUCGAAUUUAAUGUGAUAUGAAUAUUUGUUCAAUGUUAUUUUAAUUCAAGUAUUUUAUAUUGGAACAUCUGAAGAAGGUGUAAUUUUGUAUGCUGGUCAAAUAAUUAUAAAUAAUGUAUUAAUUAUUAUUAUUUACCAAGACAUCAAUUUUUAAUUUUCAAAAAUUCAGGGUGAUUGCUGCUACAAUAGCUGUCAGUCCAUAUCUGGAAGAAUUUAUAACGAGCAUGAGGCUACCACAGCUUUAUUGGUAUGCUAUCAGAGGAAGAUAUGAACAUACUAGUAAACUAACUACCGUACUAAUUCCAUUUGAAUCAAUAAUAGUGCC
rnacentral:misc_RNA from 1 species